UACGGAGGAUGCAAGCGUUAUCCGGAAUUAUUGGGCGUAAAGAGUCCGUAGGUGGCGAUUCAAGUCUGCUGUCAAAGCGUGGAGCUUAACUCCAUUAAGGCAGUGGAAACUGAAUGGCUAGAGUCCGGUAGGGGUAGCGGGAAGUCCCAGUGUAGCGGUGAAAUGCGUAGAGAUUGGGAAGAACAUCGGUGGCGAAAGCGCGCUACUGGGCCGGAACUGACACUGAGGGACGAAAGCUAGGGGAGCGAAAGGG
rnacentral:rRNA from 1 species